UAUUCCUUUGUAGUUAUUCAGUGUUUCAAUUUCAUGGUAAUUUUGUGAUAUUUAGGAGACAGGAAGUUGUGGAAUUAUGGAUCCCAAUGUUUUUAAAUUGUAGUAUGCUAUAACUGUUUAGUCUCUGAGGGUGCAUUUGGUACAAGGGAUGGGGCAAUAUGAAAGAAGACAUGCUAAUGAUUGUGUUUUCUUGUGAUUAGUGUAAUUAGAACAAGAUAAAUAAUAUUGAUAUGUUCAACAAAUAUUUAAAUAUAUUAGUUAAGAAAUUUUUAAAAUAUUCUUGUCCAUAAGAAUUGUCCAAUAGGUAGGGUGAGCAUUUAUUGGUUUUAGCCAAAAAACCAAACUGAACCGAUUUAAUUAGGUUUAUUAGUUGAUUGAUUCAAUUUCAGUUAUCAUUUUGAAAAAUUUUUGGUUUUCCAAUUUGGGUCGGUUAAUUCAGUAAAAAAACCGACAUAACCAAACAGGUAUUUCUAAAACACAUAUAACCCUGCUCCCAUUUUGAUAUGUAGACUCUGCUGUUUUGAAAAAUUUUACCUUUCUUUUGAGAAGAAGCCCUAAAAUUUCAUUCUCCUUUCCUAUUACACCCUUGCUGCUUGCCUUGCUCUCUGCCUCUCUUUGAGACAGUCUACUUCUCAUCUCACUCAGUUCUCAUUGUCGGUUGCUUCUUCUCCACUGGUAUCGUCAGUUGUCCACUGUUUCUCUUGCUCCACUGCAUCUCCUUCUGUCAAAUCCCCACCAGAGUGUUGUGUCAAGAUUUGUUUCCCUUCUCUUCUCCACCGUUGAUUCUAGAUUUCUUAACCUUCUUCACUUUCAAAUGUCUUAUCAAUUGUCGGCAGUGGGUCUCAUUGUGUGACUGCAUUUGUGCGUGUGGCUUUGUGCAACUGUAAGCUGUGGCUCUCUGUGCGUGAACACCGAUUAAAGAAUCAAAAGUGUCGUGCUUGCUGUGUUUUGUGGCUCUCCACGUCUCCCUCCGUUGAAUCCCCGCCAUAGUGACUGUGGGCUGUGGCUCUCACUAUGUGUGACUUCUCGCGCCCUCCCCUCACGCUCAUGACACCAGAAUGAGAAUACAAGCAGUUUGUGAUUUAUUUGUGAUUUAUUUGUGAUUUUGUUCUUUUCUCAUCUCAUAAUUUGCGCUUUGUAUUGGUUUUUGUGAUUUGUGAGGAUGAUCGGUGAGGAUGGAUUUGUUUGAAAUCCGAAGGUUUAUUUUUUGAUAAAUUGUCUUUUGCUUGUGAUUGAAAUUUGAAGAACAGAUGGACUGAACCAAACCUAUUUAUCUUGGUUUGUUUUGUUUUGGUUAGUUCUUUAGUUUUUGGUUUGGUUUCUCUAAAAAUGCAUUUCAGUACUUUGGUUUGUCCGGUUUGGUUCAGUUCAAAAUCAAACCAACUGAUUGCACAUCCCUAUCAAUCGGUGCUCCAAAAACAGGACGUGGGAGAAUUUUUAUGUCCAUUAAACCAAAGACACUCUAAUAGUCGAAGUAGUGGACUUCAUGCAUUCUGGUUGGGAAUCCAAAUCCAGUAGGUGCUAGAAGUUUUAACUCUAUAUAUUUUUUGUUAUGCAUCUGUUACUUUGAUUGCUCUUUUAGCUAUUUUGAGGUGCAUGUUUUUAAUGGCUUCUAUGUGAGGUAGCCUGUUUUCCUGCUUUUAUAUGCCUGUUCUUGUGGACUUUCUGAAAUUAAUAUAAUUAUUGGGCCCUUUUUGCAGAGUUCUUGAAUGUAGAUGAUG
rnacentral:misc_RNA from 1 species